UACGAGGGCGUAGCGUUGUUCGGAAUUACUGGGCGUAAAGGGCGUGCAGGCGGUUUGUUAAGUGCAGGGUGAAAGCUCCCGGCUCAACUGGGAGAGGUCCUUGCAUACUGGCAAACUCGAGGGAGGCAGAGGAAAGUGGAAUUCCCGGUGUAGUGGUGAUAUGCGUAGAUAUCGGGAGGAACACCUGUGGCGAAGGCGGCUUUCUGGGCCUUACCUGACGCUGAGACGCGAAAGCGUGGGGAGCGAACCGGG
rnacentral:rRNA from 1 species